rnacentral:rRNA from 1 species
GCUAGUAAUCGUAGGUCAGCAUACUACGGUGAAUACGUUCCCGGGCCUUGUACACACCGCCCGUCAAACCAUGAGAGUUGGCAACACCCGAAGUCGGUAGUCUAACCGCAAGGAGGACGCCGCCGAAGGUGGGGUUGAUGAUUAGGGUUAAGUCGUAACAAGGUACC